AUCAUAAGAGCAAUUACUGGCAGCUAGUGAGUUCAGUUUUGCUUAGUACGUGGUUCACAAAACAUCUACAAAACGAAUGUUGGAAUAUCAGAAGUGGGAUUAGGAACAACACUCAGAUCAAUAAAUUCGAGGGAGGGACGGGACGCACGGGUUUUAAUGCGGUUGUUUUUUUUGAACGAUGGAUCUAACCUUAAUAAUCGGUGA